GUUGAGAUUUUAGGUACAUGGACUCCAUUCCCUAGUCGCCUUUUGCCAACAUAGGUCUCCAAUCCCUAGUUGAUUUUUCGACAUAGGGCCUCCAUUCCCUAGUCGCUUUUUGCCAACAUAGAGCACCAAUCCCUAGUUGAAAUUUUUAGACAUAGGGCCUCCAUUCCUUUGUCGCCUUUUGCCAACAUAGAGCACCAAUCCCUAGUUGAGAAUUUUCGACAUAGGGUCUCCAUUCCCUAGCCUCCUUUUGCCAACAUAUGGAUCCAAUCCCUAGUUGAGAUUUUAGACAUAGGGCAUCCAUUCCCUAGUCGCCUUUUGUCAAUAUACGGCUCCAAUCCCUAGUUGAGAUUUUUUGACAUAGGGCCUCCAUUCCCUUGUUGCCUUUUGCCAACAUAGGGCUCCAAUCCCCAGUUGAUAUUUUUAGACAUAGGGACUCCAUUCGCUAGUCGUCUUUUGCCAACAUAGGUCUCCAAACCCUAGUUGAUUUUUCGACAUAGGGCCUUCAUUCC
rnacentral:lncRNA from 1 species